ACCGUGACAGAGAGAGUUUUAGCAGCGAUGGAGGGUGCAAUCUAAUUUCACAAAGAAGAGCGCGAUAAAUCAGCAACGAAAAAGAAAAUUCAAAAACAAAACAAUGCUGUGAACAAUCAAAGAAGAGAGAGAGAAAAGCCAAAGCAAAGCGAAGGAGCAAUCGAAUUCGAAGAGAGAAGUUGCGAGAAGAAGACCUGUAAACAACAACAACAACAACCAAGUCACUGAAUUUUUGAAGACUUUUUGUUUUUCUUUGUUUUCUACAAGAAAUUCGAAGCUCAAAGAGACGUCGAAUUUUGAACAAACGAGUGUCUUUACGCCGGGUGCAGUUAUCAAUUUUAACGGUUUUUACAGUUGGAAGCUCACAACACGUGUUUUUUUAGUGAUGACAAGUUAGGGUUUUGAUUUACGAAGAAUUUGAAUGUGGGUAAGUGAUAUUUGGGCGUUUUAGUGAGUUUGAUCUCUGGUGGAGGGUUGUCAUUUGUUUUCUAGGGUUUUGGUUUUGUGAAGAUGAGAUUCCACUGUGCAUUGUGUGCUGUGUGUGUGGAUGAAUCCUUUGGUGUUGUUUUGAUAAGGAAUUGACCAUAAUUCAGAUCGAAUUUGGGGUUUUCAACUGGUUAUAUGUAGUAAUUGUUGGUGGUAUAUGAGCGGGUUGAGAAAUGCAACCACAUCAGAAUUCUCGAAUAGAUGUGGCGGAAUUGAAAGCACAGAUAGUGAAGAAAAUUGGGCCUGAGAGGUCGAAGAGAUAUUUCUAUUACUUGAAUAGGUUGUUGAGCCAGAAAUUGAGUAAGGGUGAGUUUGACAGGUUGUGCCUUCGAGUGCUUGGGAGGGAGAAUCUGCCGUUGCAUAAUCAUUUUAUACGUUCAAUCUUAAAGAAUGCUUGUCAUGCAAAGACACCGCCACUAGUUCACGAAGUGGGACCCACAAAACCUGUUGUAGUAGCAGGGAAAAGUUCUUUUAAAGAAGAUGGCCAAGAACAAAGUGGGUCUGUGGUUCCGAAUCAAAGUCCAAGGACACCGACUUGGUCGAAUGGGGUUGUUUUGCCGAUGUCGCCACGAAAGGGAAGGUCUGCAAUUCACAAUCGGAAGCUCAGGGAUCGACCUAGCCCACUUGGACCUAAUGGAAAGGCAGAUGGUGCGUCACAUCAAUCAACAGCUGCCGAAGAUAGUGGUCUGAAGACCGUUGUGGAAAAUGGGACUUUGAAUCCAUGCGAUUAUCAGAGACCAAUACAGCAUCCUCAAGGACAUGCUGAGCAACCUGAUAAUGAAAGGCCUAAAAUAAAGAAUUCAACAGAGGCUUCAGUUUCUCUACGUAAUAAAGACCUACUCGAAGUAGCUGUGGUUGAAGAUGGGGAAGAAUUUAUUCAGGCCAACCACUUGAAUAUCUCCAGUAGUCCUCUUCUUGCUCCUCUUGGAAUUCCUUUCUGCUCAGCUAGUUUAGGUGGGGCCCACAAAGCUUUGCCUGUAGCAAGCACUAGUAAUGUUGUUAGCUAUUUUGACAGCGGGGGGUUGUCAGAUACAGAGACAUUGAGGAAACGAAUGGAGCAGAUUGCAGCAGUACAGGGCCUUGGAGGGGUUUCUAUAGAAUGUGCUAAUAUGUUGAAUGAUAUGUUGGACGUGUACUUGAAGCGUUUGAUCACGUCUUGCAUGGAGUUGGUUGGGGCGAGGUCUGCACACGAGCCAAAGAGAAACACUGCUAACAAAUUGCAAGUUCAAGGCAAGCUUAUUAAUGGCAUGUGGCCUAGUAAUCACUUGCAUAUGCAGAGUAGCAAUGGACCCGUGGAAGUUAUGCAGGAAACAAGACCCCGUUGCUUAAUAUCUUUGCUUGAUUUUAAGGUUGCAAUGGAGUUAAAUCCACAGCAACUUGGAGAAGAUUGGCCAUUGCUGCUGGAGAAAAUCUGUAUGAACACAUUUGACGAAUAAAGCAUUGGUGCAGAUAUAAAUGUUUCCCAGAGAUAUAGUUGGGCCAGUCUAUUCUGGUUUGAAGGCCAUGACAAUUGAAUUUGGACACAACUAAUACAGCCAUUUCUACUCUUUUGGCCAUGAUAAACCAGUUGAUCCCCACUCAGAUGCAGCUCUGACCCUUGCAAGAUUAAAUGAGGGUCUGAGCUUGACAUAUUGGUAUUUUCCUGCUGCAGAUCCUGUACACAAUCAAGAAUUUAUUUAACACAACCAUAUACGGAUAAUUCUGAACAGAAUACACAUGUAUGGUUGCCCUGUUGUACUUUUAGCAUUCAUGGUGACUGUAUGAUGCAUCACUGCAGAUGUUGGGCUUUCCGUGUAAGUUACAGCCGAUGACGAUGAUAUCUAAACAAGUUUUGGAGGAAUACUUUGUGUAGCUUGGUGAAAGAUACUCAUUUGUACACUAUUGGCUGCUUCUCUUAAGCAAAUAUAUUGAGAAGAGAAUAGUCUAUGUAAGUUCAUUUUUUCUAUCAUUCUCUUGCAUUUUUACCUUACCAGCUACAGUUCUUUUUAUUAUCUAGCAUUUUGUUGUUUUAAUUGAAGAUAUUGAGAAGAGAAUAGUCUCUGUAAGUUCAUUUUUUUCUAUCAUUCUCUUGCAUUUCUACCUCACCGGCUACAGUCUUUUACAAUAAUUCUGUUGUUCUGCUAGCCAAUAAAUGAGGAACCCAUUCAUUAUUUCUAUUUAUUAUCAGGCAUUUUUAUGC